UCUUGUUUAACAGAGGUCAGCUCAAAGGUUUCGCAUGUUAGUAUAAGGCAAAUUAGGUAACUAUUUCAGUUUAUAUCCAAGAGAGAAGUAAAAUCUUUGGGGACUGAGCUGAAAUUUAGAUGAUGUGAAGGUUGUAAGAGGAAGAUGAAAAUCUUUCUUUCUGUAUCUGUCAUCUCAGUAAUUUUUCUGGGUGGUAGGUUCAUAGGAAUCUCUUUUUUUUUAAUACAGGAUUGAUUCUCAUGGGUAUGUGGAGGAGGAAAAGGGUAACUACAGAUAAAGAAGCUGCUGUGCUGAAAUUGUUUCAGGCUAGCUCCUGGAAGGCUAUGAGGAAAGUUACACUGAUCAAGAUGCAAAGAAUGCCAGAAAAAAACAAUAAAAGAUUGGAAGAAUUGUGAAUUGUGCAAAGACAGAUCUCCUUCUCAGGUUUUGGGAACAGUUUGCUGCCUAAAGGUAAAUUUUCCAGGUUUUUGCAGAAGCAAUGCUGUGUUUGGUACUUUUUGUAAGACUUCAAAUAUUACAGUUAGAGAUGUGUUUGGGCCACUCCUUCAGGAGGUGAAAAUCUUCCUGACUUAAUGCCUACUGUAGAAUGUCCAUCGUUACAAUGAAAUAUUUCAUAAUGGCAAAGUAUCUCAGGGAAUAUUGUAUAGCUGAAAUAACUUAUCGAUACUUAUGUUUCACUGACUAGAAACGUUCUGAGUGAUAUUACAGGAUACUGCAGGAAUAGCACCUGUAGCUGGAAGGGGCUUUGUGUAAAAUUCUCAUGACUGCAAACCCUAAUGAAACUUUGUAAGCAACAAUGAGAAAUAUAACAGCAAAAUAAUAAUUAAAAAAACAAACAAGGCAAACCCAAAUGCACACAAGCCCAACUAAGAAAGAAAUAGCUCUAGAGUAACCUUUUGUGUGAUACUUAACCAUAUUUCUCAAACUUGCAUGUGAUAAUUAUGUUUGAACACUAGAAGCCUUAUUUUCAUGCUAUCCUCUAUUUGCACGUUAACUGAGAAAAGGGCAUUUGUCCUCACAGUUUCAAAAGCCUACAAAGCAGAGGAAGGAGAUGCUUAUGAAAUCAACAGGAAAUUUUAUCUGGUAAGAAAAACAAGAGUGUACUAUGGUCACAUGAUUCUUUUCCAGCAAGAAGUGCUUAGAGGGGCACAGCAACCCAUAUUUUCUACUGACUGACUCACAGAAGUGAGUCUGUACAAACCUUGCUGGCUGCCAAUUUUCAAAUACUGUUUCAGUGAAAAUCACUUUUGAAAUAAAAGGGAAUUAAAUGAA